UGGGGAAUAUUGGACAAUGGGCGAAAGCCUGAUCCAGCCAUGCCGCGUGAGUGACGAAGGCCUUAGGGUUGUAAAGCUCUUUUGGCGGGGAAGAUAAUGACGGUACCCGCAGAAUAAGCUCCGGCUAACUUCGUGCCAGCAGCCGCGGUAAUACGAAGGGAGCUAGCGUUGUUCGGAAUCACUGGGCGUAAAGCGCACGUAGGCGGAUUGUUUAGUCAGGGGUGAAAUCCCGGGGCUCAACCUCGGAACUGCCUUUGAUACUGGCAAUCUCGAGUCCGAUAGAGGUGGGUGGAAUUCCUAGUGUAGAGGUGAAAUUCGUAGAUAUUGGGAAGAACACCAGUGGCGAAGGCGGCUCUCUGGUCCACACCUGACGCUGAGGCGCGAAAGCGUGGGAGCAAACAGGAUUAGAUACCCAGGUAGUCCCUGAGCGGGCUGGCAAGGCGCAU
rnacentral:rRNA from 1 species